rnacentral:lncRNA from 1 species
AGAUCAUAAUAUAUUUCCAUACACCAAAUAUAGUUUACCUUUGGCAUAUAAUAUUAGAUAAAAAGACCAAAACUUUAAAACUUAACUUUGACCACUGAACCAUGAAAAUGAGGUCAAAGUCAGAUGACAUCUGCCCGCUAGACAUGUACACCUUACUAUCAUUCCAUACAACAAAUAUAGUAGACCUAUUGCAUAAAGUAUGAGAAAAACAGA